AAUACUGGAUGGAUAGUCAGAGA
rnacentral:siRNA from 1 species